rnacentral:rRNA from 1 species
UGGCUAACUCCUACGGGAGGCAGCAGUGGGGAAUCUUGCGCAAUGGGCGGAAGCCUGACGCAGCCAUGCCGCGUGGAUGAUGAAGGUCUUAGGAUUGUAAAAUCCUUUCACCGGUGAAGAUAAUGACUGUAGCCGGAGAAGAAGCCCCGGCUAACUUCGUGCCAGCAGCCGCGGUAAUACGAAGGGGGCUAGCGUUGCUCGGAAUUACUGGGCGUAAAGGGAGCGUAGGCGGACAUUUAAGUCAGGGGUGAAAUCCCAGAGCUCAACUCUGGAACUGCCUUUGAUACUGGGUGUCUUGAGUGUGAGAGAGGUAUGUGGAACUCCGAGUGUAGAGGUGAAAUUCGUAGAUAUUCGGAAGAACACCAGUGGCGAAGGCGACGUACUGGCUCAUUACUGACGCUGAGGCUCGAAAGCGUGGGGAGCAAACAGGAUUAGAUACCCUUGUAGUCCAGCUGG